UCAAUGUAUAGGAGGUCCUGCCUGCCCAGUGACUAAAUUAAACGGCCGCGGUAUUUUGACCGUGCAAAGGUAGCGCAAUCACUUGUUUUUUAAAUAAAGACCUGUAUGAAUGGUGAAACGAGGGCUUAACUGUCUCCUUUUUCUGAUCAGUGAAAUUGAUCUACCCGUGCAGAAGCGGGUAUAAAAAUACAAGACGAGAAGACCCUAUGGAGCUUAAGACAAAAAAUCAACUAUGUUAAAAACCCCCAUUAAGGGAACAAAACAAAACAGCAACUGAUUAGGGUCUUCGGUUGGGGCGACGACGGGGGAAAACCAAUCCCCCACGUGGAAAAGAACACAAUUCUAAAACCAUAAGGCACACCUCUAAGUCACAUAACUUCUGACCAAAUGAUCCGGCAACCAGCCGAUCAACGAACCAAGUUACCCUAAGGAUAACAGCGCAAUCCCCUCCAAGAGUCCAUAUCGACAAGGGGGUUUACGACCUCGAUGUUGGAUCAGGACAUCCUAAUGGUGCAGCCGCUAUUAAGGGUUCGUUUGUUCAACAAUUAAAGUCCU
rnacentral:rRNA from 1 species